rnacentral:rRNA from 1 species
CCUACGGGAGGCAGCAGUGAGGAAUAUUGGUCAAUGGACGAGAGUCUGAACCAGCCAAGUAGCGUGCAGGAUGACUGCCCUAUGGGUUGUAAACUUCUUUUAUAUGGGAGUAAAAUGUUCCACGUGUGGGAUUUUGUAUGUACCAUAUGAAUAAGGAUCGGCUAACUCCGUGCCAGCAGCCGCGGUAAUACGGAGGAUCCGAGCGUUAUCCGGAUUUAUUGGGUUUAAAGGGAGCGUAGGUGGAUUGUUAAGUCAGUGGUGAAAGUUUGCGGCUCAACCGUAAAAUUGCAGUUGAAACUGGCAGUCUUGAGUACAGUAGAGGUGGGCGGAAUUCGUGGUGUAGCGGUGAAAUGCUUAGAGAUCACGAAGAACUCCGAUUGCGAAGGCAGUUCACUGGACUGCAACUGACACUGAGGCUCGAAAGUGUGGGUAUCAAACAGGAUUAGAUACCCUUGUAGUC